AGAGCGAACGCUGGCGGCAUGCUUAACACAUGCAAGUCGCACGGGCAGGGGAAACCCUGUCAGUGGCGGACGGGUGAGUAACGCGUAGGUAUCUAUCCUUGGGUGGGGGACAACUGUGGGAAACUACAGCUAAUACCGCAUGAUAACUGAGGUUUAAAGGCGCAAGUCGCCUGGGGAGGAGCCUGCGUACGAUUAGCUAGUUGGUGGGGUAAAGGCCUACCAAGGCUGCGAUCGUUAGCUGGUCUGAGAGGAUGAUCAGCCACAUUGGGACUGAGACACGGCCCAAACUCCUACGGGAGGCAGCAGUGGGGAAUAUUGGACAAUGGGCGAAAGCCUGAUCCAGCAAUGCCGCGUGUGUGAAGAAGGUCUUCGGAUUGUAAAGCACUUUCGACGGGGACGAUGAUGACGGUACCCGUAGAAGAAGCCCCGGCUAACUUCGUGCCAGCAGCCGC
rnacentral:rRNA from 1 species